GUCAGGUAUGUACUGAAUCACUGGCAGCAAACUUGUGGGAUUUUAGGAGAGAGCUUUUCUCUCUCUCUCUCUCUCUCUCUCAAUUCUGGGCAGAAUGCUUAUUUUUGUUUCGUUUUGUUUGUUUUAAGGAAAACAACAACAGAACUUGAGGCUGGCUGAGUUUAUUAGAUUACUGAUUAUCACUGUUAGUUUCCCGCUGCUUGUAUUUGUUGGGGGUGGUAAGGGAGAUGAGGACAAGAAUUCAGAUGAAAAACACCCAGGCUUUUCUCUUCAUGAAAUCCCCCCUGUGAGGUUUUCCAGCUUGCCUUCCCAUAACUUGAUUCUGAUGAGGUCUGCCAUAGCUAACCUAUUAAAGAGAACAUUGAAAUUGGUGGGUGAAAAGGGUUAAAAAUACAGCUUAGCAGUGAAUAUAUUCGGGUUUAGCACCCUUACUGGAGGCUGUGAUUUCACUGGCCUUGGAAUACCAGAGGGAAUUGCAAAACAUGUAGAUAGAAUGAAGAGAUAGAGUGCAGAUAGAGUGGGGACAGAACAGAGUGGUAAAGAGAACCAGGCUAAGGGUGGCUACUUCCCUCUGAAGGGUGGGUCAUUCUUGCUAAAGUGGGUUUCUUGGUGAAUUACAGUGGCAGCUCAGAGCUGGGUAAGAGGAGAAAAUGCCAUCCAAUAAGGCUGGAGGCAGUUUGAAAGAUGAAUAAUAUAACAUGCAGUGAUUUCAAACUUCACGCUUUCUUAUUGAAAGUUUUUCUUCCAGUUUGGAAGGCAAGUUUCAAUCGAUUCUCUUGUCUAAUCCCUGCUUCCUGCCAGGCUGAGCUGUUGCUGUUUUCAAGAAGAAACCUGGGCCUUGAUUUGAAUGCUUCAAACACUCAGUGCUCAAUUAGCCCUCUUUUGAAUCCUCUCUGACGGUUGGUUAAAUAUGGGUCGAAAGUGCUUUUUUAAAGUGGAACUGAUCUUGGGUUGAGGUAACUUAAUCUUCCGGGUGUUAAGACGCUGAAAAAUAAUGUUUUAACGGAACAAUUACUAGAAGACAUGGAAAUUGCAUUAGGCUCGUCUGUCCAGUUCUAUUUUAUAGACAUGAACAUUUCAAAGUACAAAAGGCUAUUCUAUAAAAAGGACACUUGGCUAUUCUUUAUAAAGGUUCCCCUUGUACUUUUAUAGAAUGUUUACAAGGUUAAUAAGUAUGCUUUUUUUUUUAUCACUGUAUAUUUUAAAUGGCCCAACGACUGCUCCCACGUUGAUUUGAGAAUCAUUGAAACUGCCUGAAUGGAGCAGGGGUAUCCUUUGUUUCCCAUUGAUUUGGAAACAAAAGACUCAGGGGGGAAAGAAAAGUUUAGUUUGCUUCUGAAUGCCAUAUGCAGAUGAACGUUCUGCUGAUAAAAUACACCAAGGAUCUGAAAACUUUUUCAAGUCUUAGAACAGGAAGGUUACUCUUGCAGUCACACUGCAUGUUUGAACCUGCCUUCCAUUUUUCAUUUCUCCCAUUGUGCCCUGGGCUACCAUGGGAUUACUUAUGUCACACACCCAAGUCUUCGGAAAAAAAUAAACAGCAGUCAAUAGAAGAGAACCACCAUCAAACGAGGCAAAAGUUGUCUGCUGUUUCUUACUUAGGAAAUACCCCAUGGACAUCAUCAGUAAAUAAGGUCCCCCACUUUCCCCCUCAUCAUUUUUCCCAAUUUCUCUAUAUCCAAGAUUCCCAUCCUUGGCGCUAAUAUUUACGACUAGAACAUUCUUUAUUGUUGGUGGCUGUCCCGGGCAGUGUAGGGUGCUCACCAGUAUCUGGUGACAGUAGCUGUUCCCUCUACAGUCAUGAAAAUAAAAAAUGUGAAAAUUGAGAGCUGGGCACAGUGGGUUCACCUGUAGCCCCAGCUACUCAGAUGGCUGAGGCAGGAGGUUCCUUUAAGCCCAGGAGUUCUAGUCAAGCCUGGGUAAUGUAGGAAGACAUUGCCUCUAAAAUACAU
rnacentral:lncRNA from 1 species